UCGCCUGCAUUGUUGUAUAACUCGUGUGUCUUAUGUCGCUCGUCGGAUUUUACUUAAAUUUCCUAUGUGAAUGUGCGGGAGAUUUGCUAACUUGGCUGCUGCUCCGACUGCCUACCUAGAGCAACUGGAUAGGAUCCCAAAUAGUCCGUUUACUCUCGGUUCAGAUGAGAUUGGCACCGAUUUCAAGUGGACUCCCACCGUAUCGGAUCUGAUUUGGAACGCCAAGAGGGAGAGUAGCUUACAACAGAUGAAAUAAUUUAUUUGUCUUAGAAACUAUAAUAAAUACGGAUCUUAAGUCUAGCUACAGUAGCAUCACUUUCCCAGGUAGGCCCCACUCAGAUCCUUUCCGAUCCUGUAGAACACUGGGCGCCCAUUUCGUGGCUGGAUGUCCCGGAAAUUGUUGAUCAGCCUGUGUCCCUCGGAGUCGCGCAGUUUCCAGAACUUCGACACCGACGAAUAGGGCACGGGCAGGACCUGGGAGAACACCGUCCAGGUGACAGACUGCUCGCAAAGGGGCGUGGUCAGGGAUCCGCGGUAGGUGAAGAAGUCCCGCGGAUUCACGUUUCCAAGCAUCUGGCCCAGACUCAGUCCGCCCGGAAUGGUCGUCUUCGCGUUGUACUUCGUCACUCGCGGCAACGCACUCAUCACUUUGCUCAAUCCCGGAAAUAUGCGAUUGGGAUUCUGUUAAGAAAAAAAUCACAAAUUAUUUGUUACAAACUCCUAAUGAAAUUGUGUUCAAAUGAUUGAUUCAUAUAAGCAGAAAAACAGCUGAAAGAAUAUUCAUCUGAAAGUGACGUAUUGGCACGUUUAAUUUUCUUCGGCAAAUUUAGUUUCACGGUGAAGAUUUUCAUUGCAUCAUCGUUCCAUCACGUUGGAUUAGAUUGCACCCGGUUUCUCGCAUGACUCCAAUAACAGCAAUGCCAUCUUUCUUGUUUUUCGCCUCAUCGAUAUCUCCAUACUUCGCAUUUCGGUGGACAAUGUGCAUCUCCACGUCGAAUCGCUGCUGGUUGAUGGAGUGCUCGGAUCCGCGGGAGCUCGGGGAUCCCCAGUGGAAGUGGAAUGCCUCGGCCACGAAUCUGCCCUUGAGCAGACCCCCGGUUAUGAAGGGUUUGUUGCCGUUAGCAGUUUCUGGUAUCUCCACGUGAGCUGCCAAGCAAUUAGUAGCUUUCGUUCAAAACCAUUGGCGAUCUCUCGAACCCACAACCCACCUGUAUGUCCAUUGUUGUGCAGGGUGAGCGGUCCCCUCAGCUUUACGUCAUAGUUGCCGAAGACGAUCCGCGGCAGUGGGACGAUGAGCGACUGCCGGGAAGCACGACAAUGUAUCAGUGGUUAUUGAAAUAAAUUAGCCCUUUCAGCGCUUCCAUUUUCCACACCCA
rnacentral:sRNA from 1 species